UCCGGGAUCGUCUAACGGUAAGACGCCGCGCUCUGAACGCGGAAAGUGCUGGUUCGACCCCAGCUCCCGGAUC
rnacentral:tRNA from 1 species